rnacentral:rRNA from 1 species
AGAUGGCGACCGGCGCACGGGUGAGUAACACGUAUCUAACCUGCCGAUAACUCGGGGAUAGCCUUUCGAAAGAAAGAUUAAUACCCGAUGGUAUAAUCAGACCGCAUGGUUUGAUUAUUAAAGAAUUUCGGUUAUCGAUGGGGAUGCGUUCCAUUAGGCAGUUGGUGAGGUAACGGCUCACCAAACCUUCGAUGGAUAGGGGUUCUGAGAGGAAGGUCCCCCACAUUGGAACUGAGACACGGUCCAA